rnacentral:misc_RNA from 1 species
AAAAAAAAAAAAAAAAAAAUCAUGAUUACGUAUCUUUCCUUUCCAUCCUGCAACGAACACCUCCCAAAGAUCUGUAAUUCUUAGCUUUUUAACAUCUCCACUCGAAGGUUCCUCUUCUCCUACCUCCACUACCCUUCCUUCUUCAACAAACCCUACAUUAAUCAAUCCUUAAUCUUGCAGAUCUGCAUAAUAUUACCGCUCAUUUCGAUCGAAUAUUUCAUUUCGUUUUCAAAUUUUGAUUCCGCAGAUCCAAUCAUGGAUUUCAUGAAGGUAUUCGACCAGACAGUCCGCGAAAUAAAGAGAGAGGUUAAUCUCAAGGUCCUGAAGGUUCCCGAGAUCGAGCAGAAGGUGUUGGAUGCAACUGAUGAUGCGCCUUGGGGUCCUCAUGGCACUGCAUUGGCAGAAAUUGCACAGGCCACUAAGAAAUUCACCGAAUGUCAGAUGGUUAUGAAUGUUCUGUGGACAAGAUUAGGUGAAACAGGCAAGGACUGGCGUCUUGUCUACAAGGCGUUAUCUGUUAUAGAGUAUUUGGUGGCUCAUGGUUCUGAGCGUGCUGUUGAUGACAUAAUAGAACAUACAUUCCAGAUAUCAUCACUUACAAGUUUUGAAUACGUUGAGCCAAGUGGAAAGGAUUUGGGACUUAAUGUGAGGAAGAAGGCAGAAAAUAUUGUGGCUCUCUUGAAUGAUAAGGAAAAAAUACAAGAAACCAGAAAUAAAGCUGCUGCAAACCGUGAGAAGUACUUUGGUCUUUCAUCUACAGGAAUAACUUAUAAAUCAGGUUCAGCCUCAUACAGUAGUAGUGGCUUCCAGAGUAGUAAUCGAUAUGGAGGCCUAAGUGGUACAAGAGACAGUGAUAGUUUUAGGGACAGUUAUAGAGACAAGGAUCAUUAUGGAGAAGAAAAGACUGAGAAGGAUACCUAUGGAAAGUCACGUCAAGGGGGUGUGACUGAUGAUCCAGGGAACAUGUGGAAGAAGGGUUCGACAUGCAGUGGCAGGGAUCAGAAUAAUGUGUCAGUCAAUGCAUCAAAGUCGUCAUCUAAGUUAAAUGAUCCUCACAAAAACAAUUCAGUUCCUUCCCAACAUGCAAAUGCCCCUUCAAGUACCUAUGGUGAUGACUUCGAUGAUGAUUUUGAUCCCAGGGGAACUUCCAGCUCUAAGACAGCUGCUGAAACUUCUAAUCAAGUUGAUCUGUUUGGAGAAAGUCUGAUUGGCGGCCUCAUGGAUGCACCAACAUCUGUUUCCACAGAGACAUCAGCCAUGAAUGGCAAUUCAUCAGAGGUUGAUCUGUUCGCCGAUGCAACUUUUGUAUCAGCACCUCCCCAAGUAGAAAAGGGAGCAAGUACUCAGUCUCAGACUCAGGUUGAUCUGUUUGCUUCCCAGUCUGUCAUUCCUCCUGCAGUUCCUCCAGCGGUUGAUUUAUUUUCCAGUGCUGAUCCAGUUGUGCAACCAGAAACCAAGGGCCAAAAAUCUGAUUCAACAAACAAUAACAUCGUUGAUCCAUUUGCUGCAGUUCCAUUGAACAAUUUUGAUGGAUCUGAUCUUUUUGGUGCAUUCUCUUCUAGGUCCAAUUCAGCUUCUACUGAACCUGCAAAAGAUCCUAUAAAUGGUGGCGGCCUUAAUGAUUUGAAUGUGAAUGCUUCAGACUCCAAGCCUACACCAAAGAAGGAGACUUUCCAGAUCAAGUCUGGAAUAUGGUCAGAUUCAUUAAGCCGUGGACUGAUUGAUCUCAAUAUAUCUGUUCCUAAGAAAGUAUCACUAGUGGAUGUUGGUGUCGUUGGUGAUCUGAGUGAUGGAAAAGAUGAAAAGGACAAGGGACCGCCAGCUUCUCUCUAUAUGGGAAGAGCCAUGGGCACAGGGUCUGGUCUUGGUAGAUCUGCGUUUACAUCUUCAGAGUCACAGGCAUUGGAUUCAGAUUUCUUCUCAAGCCUCAGCAGCCAACAAUACCAACUUGGUAGUUUUAAGAAGUAAAUUUUUUACAUAAUCAAAUCACUAUUGUUUUCAUUUUUGUCCCUGAUUAUCUUCUCAAUAUUCUUUUGCCCAUUUGGCAAAGAAAAUUUGAUAUGUUGAGCAUAUUUGUGUGCCAAGUCGUGUUCAUAAAUGAAAACAAUAGUGAUUUGAUUAAAAAAUCCGUCAUGAGUGAGAGUACUUUUACAAGACUGUUUAUGUUCAAUUGAUUACAUAAAUAGCGUCCUUAUGAAGUCACGACCUUUGGUGACCACGUUUGUAAUAUUAGAUCUGUAAUUUCAAUUUCUGCUGUUGAUUAGGCACGAGGAAAACCUCAUUAAACAAUUCCAAGCAAGG